UUUAAAGGCAAACUGAAUUAAGGAAGGAGCCAGCACAUGCAGGCAAAGGCAUUCCAGGCCAAGGAAUGUCAACCAGAAACAGAACGACAGAGGGAAAAUUAUGUUUUCUUCCCCUACAAGACUUUGGAGAAGAAAGCCAUGUGACUGUCUGGGGAGAAGCUUCCAGAUCCCAAAGUGGGAGCAUUUCUGGCAUGUUCUAGCCCAGCAAGGGAGCUGGGGUGGCUAGAGUGGAGGGCCGAGGGUCGUGGAGUUGAUAUGAGCUGGGAGAGGUGACCGGGGUUGAUACAGGCAGCCUCAUAGAACAUGUGAAGACCAGCUUUUACUUUUGAGCAGAAGAGCAUUGCAACAGGACUUGCAUUUUCAGGAGCUUUCUCAGGCUGCUGUGUGGGGACCAGACAGCAGGGAUAUGUGCACAGAGCCCAGAGUUUCCUAAAGACUGGAUGUGGGCUGGGAGAGGGGAGACUAGUCAGGAUGCUGUCUCCAUGGGGAUGGAGUUGCCACCAGCCAAGAUAGGGUGGCUAUGGCAGAGGUAAUUUUGGUGGUGAGGGGAGAUCUCAAUCUAGGGCAGGCUGAGGUUGGGAUGUUUAUGAAACAUCAUAGGGAGGAUAACAAGUGAAUUAAUUUCAAUCCACUGGGUAACCAUGUGUGUGUGCAUUUGUAUAUGUGUGUGUUUUAUUUUGGGAAGAUACGCAAACCAUAAAAUUUAUCAUUUUAAUCAUUUUUAAAUAUAUUGUUUGAUGGCAUUAAAUAGAUUCACAUUGUUGUUUUACAACCAUCUUUCAUCAGCAUUAUCCUCAUAACAAUCCAUCUCCAGUAACUUUCAUCUUCCCAAACUGAAACUCUGUACCCAUUAAAAAAUAACUCCACAUUCUCCCUUCCCCCAGCCCCUGGCAACGGCCAUUCUAUUUCUACAAAUUUGCCUAUUCUGUGUACUUCAUAUACAUGGAAUCAUCCAAUAUUUGUUCUUUUGUGUCUGGUUUAUUUCAUUUAGCAUAAUGUCUUCAAGGUUGAUUCAUGUUGUAACAUGUGUCAGAAUUUCACUCCUUUUUUAAGGCAGAGUAAUAUUCUAUUAUAUAGAUAUUCCACAUUUUGUUUAUCCAUUCAUCCACCAAUGAACAUUUGGGGUUUUUUCAGCUUUUGGCUAAUUGUGAAUAAUGCUGCUAUGAACAUUGGUAUACAUCUGUUCGUGACUCUCCUUUUA
ensembl:lncRNA